rnacentral:rRNA from 1 species
CCUACGGGAGGCAGCAGUGAGGAAUAUUGGUCAAUGGGCGCGAGCCUGAACCAGCCAAGUAGCGUGAAGGAUGACUGCCCUACGGGUUGUAAACUUCUUUUAUAAAGGAAUAAAGUGAGGCACGUGUGCCUUUUUGUAUGUAUUUUAUGAAUAAGGAUCGGCUAACUCCGUGCCAGCAGCCGCGGUAAUACGGAGGAUCCGAGCGUUAUCCGGAUUUAUUGGGUUUAAAGGGAGCGUAGAUGGGUUGUUAAGUCAGUUGUGAAAGUUUGCGGCUAAACCGUAAAAUUGAAAUUGAUACUGGCAGCCGUGAGUACAUGUGAGGUAGGCGGAAUUCGUGGUGUAGCGGUGAAAUGCUUAGAUAUAAUGAAGAACUCCGAUUGAGAAGGCAGCCUACUAAACUGCCACUGACAUUGAUGCUCGAAAGUGUGGGUAUCAAACAGGAUUAGAUACCCGAGUAGUC